UCAUUAUGGUUUUAAGUGCAAUAAAAUCUACCAGGAGAGUUUUGCUGUUUUUAACUUCCUGAGAUUUGCAUCAGAAUGGAGUGAAAAGAACGCUUGGUUCUAGAACUUGUUUGCUUUCUUACUAAGAGUUCACAGCAACCCUGUGAAAUAUAUCCCAUUUAAAGAUGAGGACUCUGAAGUUCACAUAAGAUAAGCAACUUCAUAUGAAUAACAUAACCACCUUAUAAAUUUAUU